GCCACUGUAGCUCAGUGGUUAGAGCACUGCUCUCGUAAAGCAGGGGUCGCGAGUUCGAAUCUCGUCAGUGGCU